AUGGUGCUCAGCAUCCCCACCGUGUGGUUCUGCUCCGGCGACGCCACCGCCACCUUGGGCCCCGGCGCGUGCGGGGACAGCAUGCCCACGAAGAUGACGAUGGAUGGGAUCGCCACGAACACGAACGGGAUCGAGAUGAUGGUCAGCCGCCGUAGCAGGGUGAAUCCUCCACCGCCGCCGUUUGCCCUUCCAUCGCUGGUUUGGGUUAACCCUCCAAGCCAUCAGGAGUUGACUGCAAGAGCUGGCUAUCUGGAGGUCAAGUCGGGGGAUGCAGACCAUGCUCAUCGGUGGUUUUGCCACAACUGCGGGCAGGAGAAUCAGCCGUCUAAAAAUUUACUGGUGAACCUGCAGCCGCUUGGGUGUUCCGGCUGUGGUGAACAGAAUCCAACAUCAUUUGUCUGGAGUAUAAUCGAGAGUGUCGUCAAUGAAAUCGAACUAGACCUUGUCAUACGCGACCAGGGAGAUCACCGAACAUGCACUGCGCAUGCCCUAAUCGCUGGGAUGGAUCUGAAAAGGAGAAUUUAUGGGGCUCUGUUUGGACUUUACGUUCCCCAAGAGUUGGAUAUUAGGGAUCUGCUCAUGAAAUUUUUUUGGCGUUUCGGUGAGGUUCUUGGUCAUGAGAAAACUCGAGAUCUGAUAUCGCACAGAAUUCACUGCUUAAUGAGCAUUGCACAAGUUGAAGGCGUGGGCUACGAAAAUGCUUCUGCAAUGGUCCCAGAUGUGUAUCCGGUGGCUCCCCUGGGCAGAGUGUUGAAAGUUGCUGCUUGCUUCUUUGUCACCAAGGACAUGGUUGAUCGCAUCGUAAGGCUGCUGGCCGGUGGGUUCCCUCUGGUGACCGCCGUGCCAACUGGCAGGUGCUUCCGCUACGUGGCAGCUGGACAGAUCUACAACGCGCCAAGCAUCCCCCAGAAUCAUGCUGUACUGCUAAUAGGUUUUGGAACAGCUCCUUGGCCUGGAGAUGAUUUUGCUCAGCAGAACAGUGCAGUUACUGCUAACUGGCCAACCGAUCCCACUACUGGCGACAAGCGUCUCAGGACGUUUUACAGGGCAAGAGGUUCUUCAGGCGAUCUACAACAUCCUGAUUACCAGCUGGAUGGGUUUGGUGGUGACUUUGACAUAUGGGCGGAAGACAUACAUGAGGUACUUUGGGGGUUCAAUCUGACUGAAGACAUCUCUUGGUGCUUGAGCCCGUAA
rnacentral:rRNA from 1 species